rnacentral:rRNA from 1 species
AACGAACGCUGGCGGCAGGCUUAACACAUGCAAGUCGAACGCAUCCUUCGGGGUGAGUGGCAGACGGGUGAGUAACGCGUGGGAACGUGCCCUUCAGUUCGGAAUAACCCAGGGAAACUUGGGCUAAUACCGGAUACGUGCGAGAGCAGAAAGAUUUAUCGCUGAAGGAUCGGCCCGCGUCGGGUUAGCCAGUUGGUGAGGUAAUGGCUCACCAAGGCGACGAUCAGUAGCUGGACUGAGAGGAUGAUCAGCCACAUUGGGAGUGAGACACGGCCCAAACUCCUACGGGAGGCAGCAGUGGGGAAUAUUUGACAAUGGGCGCAAGCCUGAUCCAGCCAUGCCGCGUGAGUGAUGAAGGCCUUAGAGUUGUAAAGCUCUUUCGUCCGGGACGAUAAUGACGGUACCGGAAGAAGAAGCCCCGGCUAACUUCUUGCCAGCCGCCGCCGUAACAC